rnacentral:rRNA from 1 species
AUACGUAGGUGGCAAGCGUUGUCCGGAAUUACUGGGUGUAAAGGGCGAGUAGGCGGGUGCACAAGUCAGAUGUGAAAAUCCGGGGCUCAACCCCGGACCUGCAUUUGAAACUGUGCGUCUUGAGUGAUGGAGAGGCAGGCGGAAUUCCUGGUGUAGAGGUGAAAUUCGUAGAUAUCAGGAGGAACACCGGUGGCGAAGGCGACUUUCUGGCCCUAUACUGACGCUGAGACGCGAGAGCGUGGGUAGCAAACAGGAUUAGAUACCCUGGUAGUCCACGCUGUAAACGAUGUUCACUAGGUGUUGGGGGUAUUGACCCUCUCAGUGCCGCAGCUAACGCAUUAAGUGAACCGCCUGGGGAGUACGGUCGCAAGAUUAAA